GGUUCGAUUAUGGCUCAGAUUGAACGCUGGCGGGAUGCUUUACACAUGCAAGUCGAACGGCAGCACGGACUUCGGUCUGGUGGCGAGGCAAUUGGGUGAGUAAUGUAUCGGAACGUGCCUAGUAGCGGGGAUAACUACGCGAAAGCGUAGCCAAUACCGCAGCACACCCUUCGGGGAAAGCGGGGACCUUUCGCCUCGCACUAUUAGAGCGGCCGAUAUCGGAUUAGCUAGUUGGUGGGGUAACGGCUCACCAAGGCGACGAUCCGUAGCUGGUUUGAGAGGACGACCAGCCACACUGGGACUGAGACACGGCCCAGACUCCUACGGGAGGCAGUGGGGAAUUUUGACAAUGGGGGAAACCCCGAUCCAGCCAGCUCGCGUGUGCGAUGAAGGCCUUCGGGUUGUAAAGCACUUUUGGUGUAGGAAAGAAACGGUACUCGGGAUAAUACCCCGUGAAUUGAUAAAAUUCGCAAUGGGGCAACCCGCUAACACAAGCGCAAGCUUCGUAAUACGAAAAGGCCAAUCGGAAUUACUGGGCGUAAAAGCGUGCGCAGGCGGUUCGGAAAGAAAGAUGUGAAAUCCCAGAGCUUAACUUUGGAACUGCAUUUUUAACUACCGAGCUAGAGUGUGCCGAGGGAGUGUGACCACAUGGCAGUGAAAUGCGUAGAUAUGCGGAGGAACACCGAUGGCGAAGGCAGCCUCCUGGGAUAACACUGACGCUCAUGCACGAAAGCGUGGGGAGCAAACAGGAUUAGAUACCCUGGUAGUCCACGCCCUAAACGAUGUCAACUAGCUUUCGUUGGGGCCUUCGGGCCUUGGUAGCGCAGCUAACGCAAGUGGUUGACCGCCUGGGGAGUACGGUCGCAAGAUUAAAACUCAAAGGAAUUGACGGGGACUCGCACAAGCGGUGGAUGAUGGGGAUUAAUCUGAUGCAACGCGAAAAACCUUACCUACCCUUUAUGACAUGCUCAACCGAAGAGAUUUGGGAGUGCCUGCAGAGAACCGGAACACAGGUGCUGCAUGGCUGUCGUCGGGCUGUGUCGUGAGAUGUUGGGUUAAGUCCCAAUGAGUGCAACUCGGCCAGUUAGUUGCUACGAAAGGGCACUCUAAUGAGACUGCUGAUGACAAACCGGAGGAAGGUGGGGAUGACGUCAAGUCCUCAUGGCCCUUAUGGGUAGGGCUUCGACACGUCAUACAAUGGUCGGGACAGAGGGUCGCCAACCCGCGAGGGGGGAGCCAAUCCCAGAAACCCGAUCAACUGGAUCGCAGUCUGCAACUCGACUGCGUGAAGUCGGAAUCGCUGGGGUAAUCGCGGAUCAGCAUGCCGCGUGAAUACGCUCCCGGGUCUGGCAGGUACACACCGCCCGUCACACCAUGGAGUGGGUUUUACCAGAAGUAGUUAGCCUAACCGUAAGGAGGGCGAUUACCACGGUAGGAUUCAUGACUGGGGUGAAGCGUAACAAGGUAG
rnacentral:rRNA from 1 species